rnacentral:lncRNA from 1 species
UUACUAUGCUCCCAUGGAUUUCACCUCACCAGAUUGAAGCUAUUGGCAAUUCUUGCCCUAAGUUGAAAUCAUUCUCAUAUAACGAACGUAGGUCAAAGUACCCGCAUCCGCCAGAUUUGGAAGAUGAUGAUGAUGAUGAUAUUAUUGAAGGAUUUGAUCGGAAUGUUAAUGCUAGAGCAAUCGGAAAAUGCAUGCCUAAUUUGCAUCAUCUUCAACUUUUUGCACAUGAUAUGCGAAAUGAAGGACUUGAAGCCAUCCUUGAUGGCUGUCCACGCCUUGAAUCACUUGACAUCCGGCAAUGCUUUGGUCUCGAUCUUAGAGGGGAUUUAGGGAAAAGAUGCCGUGAGCAGAUAAAAGAUCUGAGACUCCCUAAUGACUCGGUUAGUGAUGUAUCAUGGCUUGUUGAGGAACUAUCUGAAUCGGAUUAUGAAUGUUACGGCGACUAUGAUUACUGUAACUAUUAUGAAGAUUUAGAUUAUGAAUCUUACGACGACUUCACUAAUCCUCUUGGCUAUGAAUCCUUCAACGAUGACGGACCUGGGAUUUUCGACUACGACUACUUCUGAGCUAGGAACAGGAUCGUAGCAGAGAGGGUAAAAAUUUCGUUUUAUUGAUUUAUGGUUUAAGAUACAUGGCCAAAUAAUACUCCUCACCUAUUUUUUUGCAGGUUUUUGUGUUGCUAGUUGAUUUCAAGUGGUUAUGGCUGCAUUUUUGGGACUUUCAAUCUAUCUCUGGCGAGAUACCAAUGGUAGUAGCAACAUACAUUUUUGGAAUUUCACCUAACUGUAUGCUGUAUGCAUAAGAAUAUUUAAUCGCUAUGUCCUUCACCGUUUAUAUAUGGUUUAAAUGUUUGAUGAUUCUUGCUUUUGUUCUUCAUUUUUGUUGUUAUAUAUCAACCUAUCUUUCAAGCACUAUUCGAAUAACUUCUAAUAAAAUAUUUUUAUAGUUAAUGAUUUUGGAAUUUCAGGAUGCAGGUGUGAGAUUAUGUUUAAGGGUUAUGUGCAAAUUUGAUGUACUACUAUUAAUAUUAUAUUGGAUUAUUAGUGUCAAAAUAUACGAAUUUUGAGGUCAUUUUAUUUUUCACGAAUUUUACAAGUUGUUUAAAAUUACAUAAAUUUUAUGUCUCUAACAAUUUUAUAAUAAGUUUAAUUUAUGAUCAACCCAUCUUUCAAGCACCUAUUCGAAUGGCUUCUCUGUCUAUAGAGUGAUGAUUAAAAUUUAAUCCCCAUCGUCGAGGGGUGAGCAUUUGAUCGAUUCUAACCAAUUCUAUAUAUAAUAGGAGCAUCGAAAAAGAUCUUUUUUUUAUCGCUCAAUUCUUUCUACUCUCAAGUUUUUCCACCAAUUUUUCUCUCUUUUCUUUCUCCUUUUAAAUUCUUUUAAAAAAUUCGUUAACUUUAUUCACAAAAAAAUAUUCAACAGGGGAUGCUAAAUUAAAGAUUUUUUUAUUUAAUUUUAAGCUAUUUAAAUAUAACUCUUAAUAAUAAUGUUGUUUGAACUUUGAAGAGUCCAAAAUUGUUAUAUUAAAGUCUUUUACUUUUAUUAUAUUAAUGAUAUUUAGUGUUAAUUUCUUAAAAUGAGAUUACUUAAAUUGUUUGCUUUAUAGUCUAUGAAUUUAAUUAUUACACGUAUUUAGUUAUUACUAUUAUACACUACUCUAUAAAUGCAAACUUGUUCAUGAUUGUUAAUAAUUUUAGAUUUCUUUUAGAACUAUUUGUAUUGAAUAUAGGAAUAAAUAGUGAAAUACCCAAUACAAAAAAAUUAAAAGGAAUGACAAAUAACCCACAAUUUAUGUUCAAGAAAAUGAAAUCUCAAGAGAGUGAUUCUCCUACAAAUGAGUCACCUCAAGGCUCAAGCUUAAGAAAAUGUCAUGAAUUUGACUGGUUCAAAUAACACUAGAAGAUAAAGAAAUUAUUUAUGAGAUUAUUCUUUGGUAUCCACAAUUUAAAAAUCUUGGAUCCGCCACCCGAUCGCAAAAAGAACAUAAAAAAAUCAAAACGAAUCAAAGAAAUAAAGUAAUAUAUAUUACUCCAUAUUACAUAUCUUAGUCUGUAACAGCAAAAUAUGGUAAAGAAAUAUUUUGCAGGCUUGUAUGGAAUAAUAUUAAAUUUUAUAUCCUUGGUUUAGAUUUAUUUAUUUAUUUAUUAUCAUCGUAUAUUUUACAAUUUUAAACAAAUUCUUUAUUCCCAACAAGGAUCAAUAUAUGUAUCAUUAAUUGACCAUGUAUUUGAAAUAAAAGAUAAUGUUUUUUGAAUAAGAUAUAUCUAAUCUAAAAGAAAUCAAGAGAUACUAUCUUUUCUUAAAGACUUAUAUGCAAUUAUGCAUUGUAUCUAAUGCGCAAUUUAGGCCUAAUUUAGGGUUUUUACUUUUUAGGCGUAUAUUAUGCGAGUAAUCCCACCCAAAAAUAUUUUUGACCAAACACGACCUUAUAUAUUUUUGAAAGAUAUUAUGGACUAGAUUAGGAUAUAUUUGAUAUAUUCUAAUAACACUUAAUUAAUUGGGAAUUAGUUGGACUAUUGGACCUAUUAAUUGGAGUUGGAUUGACUUCCUUAGUAAGACAACUCUUUGGCUUAUAAGAGAAGCCAACUCUUUGGCUUACAAGAUAAGCCAAUCCUUUUGGCUUAUAAGUAUGAGUCUUAGUCUUACAAGAAAGGAGCUUUGGCUUGCAAAACACUAAGAGAGCACUAUAGUUUCAAUCGGAGAUUUCCUAGAUGUCGAAGAUUGAAUCGUGCACUUGGAAUUGUUCCUGCAUCGAAUCGACAUACACGUGGAUACCUUAGUAGUGGAUUCACGGCAAGAAUCGAGACGCACGCAUACCACACAACGAGUAAGUUAUUCUUUUCGUUGUGUGCCUAUCUCUACACAUGAUGCAUUUGUAAAUCUAGAUCUAAUCCUUGAAUGUAUAUUCCGCUGCGUAUCAUUAGAUGAUGUCAAGGAUAACCAACAGUGGUAUCAGAGCCCGGGGCUCGAUUUACAAUUGUUAUUGUGUUCUAAUUAAUUAUGGGUUGAUGUAAAUUUAAUUUGGAAUUAAAGUAUGUUCGAAAUCUGAUUUCUGAAUUUGCUUGGACGAUUUUAGAAUUGAAUUUUUUUGAUUAAAGGUCAACUCAUCUCAUUCAAGGUCUCAUCACUCAAAUGUAAUGCAGCAGAAAGGCUGAAUCUUGAUUAAUCACAGACUCUAAUUACUAUAACAAGUGCUUCUAUGUCUGAUAAAAAAAAUCGAAAGCCAAUGUUGUUGUCAUUCUUCAUUUCACCGAUAAUUCGAAUUGGGUUCUUGCAAAAAAAUUGACUAAUUACAAUUAGGUUCAGAAAUAAAAAUGCGAAUGUCAAAAUCAACCAAUAAAAAUACAUCGAAACUCACCGGCGUGAUUUCGAUUGUCGUCUCCGGAUGGCGAGAGAAAAGAGUAGAACCAGAUUGAAGUUUGAAUUUUGGAUUUGAGCAGGAGAACGUAUGAACUGGGCGAAAAAAUAUCUAAUUUCCAUGGCUAGAUGAUUUUCGGCAGAAAUUCGGAAACUUUCCUUGAGAUACGGAGGAAGCAUAUCUAUCAAGGAAAAGAGAAGAUCUUCAAGCCAAUGAGCCGAGCUGAGAUUUCUUAUACGGAUAUAUACGUAUGAUCUUUAGUUAUAAUCAAAACUAAUCAAAACUACGUAGUUUUGCUUGUGGGACAUGGAGUGGGACACAAUUUGUGAUACACUGGAUGUCAUCCGCACAUAUUUUCUCUCAAGUUUAAAUUACACAAAAAAUCCCUAACACGGAGUACUUAAAUCCAAAUAGUAUAAAAAGUAAAAUAAUGAAAGCCCUAAACAUAUUUCACCCAUCCCAAUUAAUCAAGCGCCGCUGGGGUUUCAUCAUCUCAAGUCGUUUUCUUCUUUCUGCACCGAGGAGAGCAACAAUAAGGAGAAAAUAUCCGGUAGCCACCACUGUGAAAAACUUAUAGUCAUCGCUCGCCGUCUCUGUCUCACAAAAAAAAAACCUUCGCUCUAUCCGCCUAUCACUCGCCGCCGCACGGACCACCCCGCCCCGCCGUCUNCCGCUGGGGUUUCAUCAUCUCAAGUCGUUUUCUUCUUUCUGCGCCGAGGAGAGCAGCAGUAAGGAGAAAAGAUCCGGUAGCCACCACCGUGAAAAACUUAUAGUCGUAGCUCGCCGUCUCUAUCUCACAAAAAAAAAACCUUCGCUCUAUCCGCCUAUCACUCGCCGCCGCAUGGACCACCCCGCCCCGCCGUCUGUGGCAGUAGCCGCAGCACGACACAUGCCCUUUUUCCCUCGCUAUCUCCGCCUCUGUUUCACUUUGUCUCUCUCGCCUAUCACUCUCUGUGGCUUCGCCUCGGCUCCUCUGUGCGGCAUUCCAAACAGCAGUUGGGUAACUCAUUUAUGUCUUUAAACAUUCCAUUUUUCCUUCUCCUUCUUCAUCCACGAAUUUUGACUACAUAGAAGCUGUGAUCCUGGGGAUUUGUGAAUUUUUGAAUUUUUUCGACUGCUAUGCUUUGAGAGCACCGACUUAUUGAAGCAAUCUGUGAUCUUGAGAACACCGAAAGUGAUUUGCUUCGAAACGUGAUUUUUCAGAAAUGAAGUGCAGAGAUUAGUGUGAAGCGGUAAAUAAAUUUGGUAUUUAUAAACAAUUAUAGGUUAGUUUUUUUUGUACGUGAUACGUAACUGAACUCCAUUAAUGAUCGUGGUUUAUUGGAUAUGCAUUACAAAAAAUAUAAUAUAUUUAAUUCGUUGCAUUUGUUGAAUCUGUUAACGAUCUAAACAAACAGACGUUAAACUUGUGGAAUAUUCUGUUAAAAAAUGACGGUAGGUUAGAUUCUGUUAAACUGGCUUUUUAUUAAUAUAUAGAUUUGGUUAAUUGGAUUUUAGAAUCGAUCAAAUGCUCAUCCCUAGAUGGUGGGGAUUAAAAUUUAAGCAUCACUCUUUACCUGUAUAGCAGGCUAAUUUAUAAAAUAAAAUAAAAUAAAAUAGAUGUAAUUAAUUCUUUGAUAACGCAAAAAUAAUUUGAAUUUUAAAGUGAUACAAACUUGAUAAUUUAUGAUUAAAAAAAUGUAAUUGAUACAAACUUGGUAUUUCAUGGUUUUAAAAAAAAUGAUUAUAAUAGAUAAAGAUGUACAAUGAAAAAAUAAUUUAAGUUUUAAAGUAAGUAUAAAAUAGAAAUGAAUAAAUUUUGAAAAAACAUAUAGGAAAAAAGUCAUGAUAUGUAUAAAAAAUUUACCGCUUAAUAGUGUGCUUACUUCGAUGGAAAAGAAAAGAAAAAAUAUAUUUUCAUCAAGUUUCCAUCAUUUUCCAAUGUUUACUACGAUUGAAAAUUUUAUUCAAACAUGGUGAAACAUUUUAUCGGCAGCUCUUAAUAUUCUAUUCAAUAUCGGAUAAUAUUACACCAUGAUAGGAGUAUGAAAAUAUUUUUCAAUAUUUUUUUAUCCUUUUAAAUACAUGAUAAAAAAAGAUUGUUUUGACAUUUUUUUUAUUCAUCUUUUUUUUUUCAAUAAAUUAUAAUCAAAAUAACGGACCAUAAAGUAUAAAAAGUUAAAAACCACGCGAAAGGGCAUCUGAUUAGUCGCUUCUAAGCACGGGCUAUUGUUAAAAUUUAUGCAUUUUAAACACUAAUAACUCAAUAUAAUACUCACUCCGUUCCGUCCAAGAUGCUACAUUUCUAUAUUUGACAAAAUUAAAGAAUUUUAAACACUUAAUUAAUACUAAUUAAAUACUCCAUCCGUCCCACCAUUUUAGUCCUUUAUUCCAUUUUGAGAUGUCCCAAAAAGAUAGUCCACUUUUCUAAUUAAGACUAUAUAAAAAUAUUCUUUUUACCAAAUUAACCUUAUUUAAUGCUUCACUUAAAUGUGAAAAGGAUGUGUGAAAAUAAUAAAUAAGGGCAGAAAAGAUAAAAAUAUAAAAAUUAAAUGCAUUUUCUUAAUAUGUGUGAAAAGUGGGAGGGGACUAAAAUGGUGGGACGGAGGGAGUAUUUCUUUAUUACCUUCUCUCAUCUACUUUAUCACUUUAUUACCUUCUCUUUCUUACUUUAUCACUUUAUUACUUUCUCUCUUCUACUUUAUUACUUUAUUACUUUCUCUCUUCUACUUUAUCACUUUAUUAUUACAUGCUUAAAAUAUUAAUCUACAAUUCCUUAAAUCCCGUGCCGAGAAGCAAAUGUAGCGUCUUGGCCGGGACGGAGGGAGUAAUUUUUUUGGCACAUAACCCUUGAACAUAACCUCACACCUACAUCCUGAAAUUCCAAAAUCAAUUGAAUUAACUAUCUGUAGACAGAGAAGCCAUUCGAAUAGGUGCUUGAAAGAUAGGUUGAUGUAUGCAUAACAACUAAAAGGAACAACAAAAGCAAGAAUCAUCAAGAUUUAAACCAUAUAUAAACGGUGAAGAACACCACGAUCAUAUAUAGAAAUAUUCUUAUGCAUGGAGUUAGUUCAGCUACUAAAACAUGGGCAGAGUCAUAAGAUGUACAUAGCUACUACCAUUCAUAUCUCACUAGACAUAGAUUGGAAGUCCCAAAAUGCUGCCAUAACCACUUGAAAUCAACUACCAACACAAAAACCUACAAAAGAAUUGGUGACGAUUAUUAUUUGGCCAUGUAUCUUAAGCCAUAAAUCGAUAGAAGAAAGGUCAAGAAACCUUUACCCUAUGCUGUGACGCUGUUCCUAGCUCACAAAUAGACGAAGUCGAACAAUCCAGGCCCGUCAGGUAAGCCACGAUACAUCAUAAAACGGGUCAUAAGGGAGUCUCAUAUCUUUUAUCUGCUCACGGCAUCUUUUCCCUAAAUCCCCUUCAAGAUCGAGACCAAAGCAUUGCCGGAUGUCAAGUGAUUCGAGGCGUGGACAGCCAUCAAGGAUGGCUGCAAGUCCUUCAUUUUGCAUCAAUGAACAAAGUUGAAGAUGAUGCAAAUUAGGCAUGCAUUUUCCAAUUGCUCGAGCAUAACGAUUCCAAUCAGAUAUGUCAUCAAUACCACCAUUUUCUACACAUCGCGGAAGCUGACACCAUGAACCAUCUUCGCUAAACGAGAAUGAUUUCAUCUUUGGGCAAGCAUUGCCAAUAGCUUCAAUGUGGCGAGCAGAAAUCCAUGUGCUCGUGUUAAGAUGCAAUUCUUCCAACUGUCCAAGUUUUUCAACUGCUUGGACUAAAAGAUAUCCAGCUAUGUGAAUGCAAGAUACGAGUUUAAGACGUUUGAGAUCUCGUGAUCUGUCAAAGAGCACAAGAUUAGACUAGAUAAGUGAUUGUUUUUAGCUAGAAAAUGAUUCAGAUGUAAAAGGAGCAUAUUAUCACAAACAUGUAUUAAUGCUUUCAUCCAACAUGAUUUCAAAGGAAGCUGUACAAAUUAGAACUGUAAAAGGAGCAUAUUAUCACAAACAUGUACCCUUUUCUCAAUCAUAAUACAAUAAUCAUUUUCCUUAAAACUGUGUCAUCUCUUACUAGGCCUAUUUUUUGUGGAAGGAGUUAGUAAAUUUUUUUGAUUUUUCAGUAGCUCACUCCCCUCCACUGUCAACACUAUCUGCAUUUCUAGCAAAGCGAAUAGCAAAGGCCUUUCAUAAUUCACAUGCCAAAUCAAACUAUAACAUCAUAUCAUAUGAUCCAUGAAGAGUGAUGUCUCAAAUAUAACUCGUUUAACUACGAUGAAUCAUCAUUCUUCAAGUAAAAUCAAGAGCGCAGUAAUAUCUACCGAUGGGCGACGUAUUUUAUCAGGUGCCCGUUGCCGAAGGAGUCCAUGGUGAGGUCGACCAAUUGCCCCUGGCUCCGAUCCACUGCGCGGCGGCACAUGGCGGUAUACUUCCUUCUCAAAUUCGUAGCCCCAGGAUCAGGAUUGCACAAAUCGAUCACUCGCCACAAGGCGGGAUCCUUGCAAACCUUCCACCAGCUACUACACACUAGUUCCGCGCUUAGCAUCCCCUCCGCGCCCAACCUCUGCAGAAUGUUGACCGUUACAUCUUCUGGAAGUUCGAUCCACGGCGGCGGAGAGGCCGAGGAUGAAGCAGCUGGCGCCGGAGUUUUUCUUUGAAGCCGCCGUUUUCGGUUUCUGCUUUUCCUUCUUUCCUUGGCGGUUGGAAACCGCAUAACGCGAAGGAGAGGAAUUUUUCUGCAUUUCCUUCUUUCCAUGGCGAUUGGAAACAGCAGAAUGCGAAGAAGAGGAAGAGGAAUUUGAAAAAGGUUUGUCUAUUUGGAUUAAUUUUAGGCGCAAAACGGGAAAAAUUUUCAGUUUCUUUUUUCGCGGGUCCCAUUCCUUUAAUUUCUUGUUUCCAGCCCAAUAUGAGUGUUUCCCAAUUUUUUUUUGUUUUGGCUUUUCCUUUGGAAUGUAUUAAUUUAUAUUCAAGUGUCAUUUUCUGAAUGAAGUAGUGUUAUUUUAAAAAUCAGUUGCACAGUGUAACUAGUUGCACAUGAAUAUUUGUGUAUAAUAAAUAUAUUGCUUUGUUAAUUAAAAAAAAAUUAUAUUAUUUGGUUGAAUCACUCCUAGCUAAUUUUUAUUAAUGUAAUUUUUGUUAUUAUUUAGAAUUUAAAGUGAUUUUAUUUUAUUAUGUUAUAUAAUUAAAACAUAAAUUUUAAAUUAAAAUAUAUAAUUAAAAUAUGUAAAUAAUAAUUCAAAUAAAAUUAAUUGAAAUGUAUAUAUAGAUAUAUAAAGGUAGUGGGAGUGGGGCUCUCAAAAGAUAAGAAACUGAAUUAUUGUUGGAGGAGAUGUUAGAGAAAAAGUAAGUGGAUUUGAAAAGCACUUAUCAUACAAUUUUUUUUGGAGAAAUUAUAUAUGUUCUAUAUGCGUAAGAACUUGUGGAGAUGCACUAUAAGAAUAAUUUAUUAGAUGGUGGUUUACGCUAUUUGUAGAUAGAGAAGCCAUUCGAAUAGGUGUUUGAAAGAUAGGUUGAUAUAUAACCAACUAAAAUGAACAACAAAAGCAAGAAUCAUCAAAAUUAAAAUCAUAUAUAAAUGGUGAAGAACAUAACAAAUAAAUAUUCUUAUGCAUAGAGUUAGAUCAGCUACUAAAACAUGCAAACUGAGGGCAGAGUCAUAAGAUGCAUAUUGCUACUACCAUUGAUAUCUCACUAGAGAGAUAGAAUCAAAGUCCCAAAAUGCUUCCAUAACCACUUGAAAUCAACAAGCAACACAAAAACCUACAAAAAAAAUUUGGUGAGUAUUAUUUGGCCAUGUUCUUAAACCAUAACUCGAUAGAAGAAAGAUCAAGAAGCGAUAAAACGAAAUUAAGAAAGCUUUACCAUCUGCUAUGAUCUUGUUCCUAGCUCAGAAGAAGUCGUAGUCGAAAAUCCCAGGUCCGUCGUCGUUGAAGGAUCCAUAGCCAAGAGGAGAAAAGUAGUCGUCGUAAUAUUCAUAAUCACUAUAAUAGCUAUAAUCAUCACAGUAGUCGCUUUAACAUUCAUAAUCCAAUUCAGAUGGUUCCCAAACAAGCCAUGAUAUGUCACUCACCGAGUCAUUAGGGAGUCUCAGAUCUUUUAUCUGCUCACGGCAUCUUUUCCCUAAAUCCCCUCCAAGAUCGAGAUCAAAGCAUUGCCGGAUGUCAAGUGAUUCGAGGAGUGGACAGCCAUCAAGGAUGGCUGCAAGUCCUUCAUUCCGCAUCUCAUUAGCAAAAAGUUGAAGAUGAUGCAAAUUAGGCAUGCAUUUUCCGAUUGCUCGAGCAUAACUAUUCUGAUCAAAUCCAUCAAUAUCAUCAUCAUCAUCAUCUUCUGAAUCUGGUGGAAGCCGGCACUUUGAACCAUGUUCGUUAUAUGAGAAUGAUUUCAACUUUGGGCAAGAAUUGCCAAUAGCUUCAAUGUGGUGACCUUCUAUCCAUGGGAUCAUAGUAAGGUGCAAUUCUUCCAACUGUUCAAGUUUGCCAGCCGCUUCAACUAAAGGAUCUAUAUGUGCAGACAUCUCAUUGAAAUAUUCAAGUUUAAGACGUUUGAGAUUUCGUGAUCUGCCAAACAGCACAUGAUUAGACCAGAUAUUAAUUAUUUUUAGCUAGAAAAUGAUUUAGAUGUAAAAGGAGCAUAUUAUCACAAACAUGUAUUAACGCUUUCAUCCAACAUGAUUACAAAGGAAGUUGUACAAGUUAGAAAAUGUUCAAUGAAGCACAAUAUACUCUUCUUUUGAUGAUUGCCUUAGUGAUACUAAGCACAUGUUUUUAGCACUGAAUUUCUGUUGGAGGUGUUUGGAACACAGGUAAACACAACUUCAAAGUGCAAGCAAAAAAGGUUCCAAACCAAUAAAAUUUCAUUAAGAGAGAUUGCAACUUCGAGUCACAAUUGCUAAAAGGAGCCGUUUGAAUACUUGCAAGAAGUUAUUUCUUGUUCAAAGCAACGGCAAAACAAGAAAGGGCGAAAAUUCUGAGAAAAAGAGAAAACUUUUUGAUUUUUCAGUAGCUCACUCCCCUCUACUGUUAACACUCUAUCUCCAUUUCUGAUUCUAACAAAGUGAAUAGCAAAGGCCUUUCAAAAUUCACAAAGCAAAUACAACAUGCCAAAUCUCAUGUCCACGCUAGAGUUGUAACUAGCUGAGCCUAAUACUACACUAUGUCCAUUUCUGAUAAUGUAUUACUCGAGUUUGAUCUCAAGCUCCUAAAAGGUUCGUGCACUAGCUAGAUUGAAGGUCCGCGAACAAAUAAAUCCAAACACGAACGUGAGUCAAACGAGGCGAUGAGAUCGGCUCGUUUGCUGUUGAACGAGAUUUUUUCGAGCAGAGCCUCGAAUAACUGUGCAUUCAGAGAGCUAAUCCAAGAGGCACUGCCAAAUUUGAGCUUCAAUUCAAUCAUUAAAAAAUAAAAUAAAACAAAUGAUAAUGAACGAGCAUUUCAACAACAACACCAGCAGCUUUAUAAAAUCAUAACAUCAUAUCAUAUCCACGAACAGCGAUGCCUCAAAUAUAACUCGUUUAACAACGAUGAAUCAACAUUUUUCAAGUAAUAUCAAGAGCGGAGUAAUAUUUACCGAUCGGCGACGUAGUUUAUCAGUUCCCCGUCGCCGAAGCAGUCGAUGGUGAGGUCAACCAAUUGCCCCUGGCUCCGAUCCACUGCGCGGCGGCACAUGGCAGUGUAGUCCUCGUUCAUAUAGAUAUCAUGAGGGUUGCACAAAUCGAUCACUCGCCACAGGGCGGGAUCCUUGCAAACUUUCCACCAGGUUCUACACACUCGCUGCGCGUUCCUUAGCAUCCUCUUUGCGCCCAACCUCUGCAGAAUGUUGGCCGUUACAUCUUCGGGAAGUUCGAUCCACGGCGGCGGAGGGGCCGAGGAUGAAGCAGCUGGCGCCGGAGUUUUCCUUUCAACCCGCCGUUUUCGUUUUCUGCUUUUCCUUCUUUCCAUGGCGAUUGAAAACGCAGAUUGGGAAGGAGAGGAAUUUGAAAACGUUUGUUUAUUAUUUGGGUGAAUAUUUAGGCGGAAAAUACAUAAGGUCGUGUUUGGUCGCGUACGGCCCAAAAAUAACGCCCAAAACCCGUAAAAUUUGAGGUGGUUUCCUAUUAAACCGAUUUUUUUGUGCUAAAAUUUUGCCUAAAUUGUACUCCCUCCGUCCCAAUAAAUGUGGCCACUUUGUUUUCGGCACGGAGAUUAAGAAAGGGAAGGUUAUGUUUUAAUGAUGUGUGGUCCACCAAAAUUAAAUAGUUAAUUAAGUGUGGAAAACAUUCUUCUUCUUCUCACUUAAUCUGUUCCACAGUCUGCCGCCGGCGACGGCAACGGCGAAGCCGGCGGUCGUCCCUCACCCUCUAUCAAAUCGCAAAUACCAAAUCGCAUAGCCAGAAACCAAAAAUCAGAAACCAAAAACUAAAAAUCAAAAACCAAAAAAUUGCAGCCCUAUGGCUGUGCAGAUUCGUCGUCGGGAAAUAGCAUAACCAGAAACCAAAAACUAAAAAUCAAAAACCAAAUCAGACAAAUAGCAUAACCAGAUUCGUAGUCGGGAAUCGAGGCCAAGGGCCACGAUUAAAGUGCCUGGAAUCAGGGGAUAUGGAGCUCGGCGGCGGCAGCCCUAUGGCUGUGCAGUCGCCGGACUUGAAGGAGAGGUUGAGACGGAGAUGAGAGGUUUUGGGGCGUGCGGCGGUGGCUGGUUCGCUAGCUGCUAUGCGCGGUCGCCGGAAAUCGAAGCUGAGGCGGUGAGUUUAGAUCUAGGGUUUGUGAGAGAAGGGCGGCGCCAUGGCUGGGGAAAUCGAAACUGAGGCGGUGGUCGUCGGUGUGUGUGUUCUGUGGAGGGGAAGAAAGGGGCGUCGGCGGUCGUGGCUGACGGCGGUGCGGCGGUUGACUGCGGCGAACGAGUCGGUGGAGAAGCAGAGGAGCGAGUCGGUGGAGAAGCGGAGGAGGAGAUCCACCGGAACGGUCCUCUUCCGGCGAGGGUCUGUGGUGUGGGUAGGGGGUGAGGGUGCGGUGGCUGCUGGCGGGGGCGGCGGGGCGAGAGAGAGAGAGAGAGAAAGGUGGUGGGCGGCGGGAGGCAGGAAUUGUGGUGGGAGUUUAUUUAAUUAGUAGGGUUAGUUAGAUUUAAUUAGAUUAAUUAAUUAGACUUAAUUAAAGUAAAUAUUUCUAUUUUAAGAAAGUUGCCACUUUUAGUGGGACAAACUAAAAUGGAAAGUGGCCAUAUUUAUUGGGACGGAGGGAGUACUUAGAUACAAUGCAUAUAUGUUUUUUUGUGCUAAAAUUUUGCCUAAAUUGUACUUAGAUACAAUGCAUAUAUACCAAUGAGGUGAUCUUGGGUACACCCGGGUGUACGUACAACCAGAUUAUAUCUUCACUAAAAUUUUGAUCCAUAUCCUGAUUUGAAUCCAUAUCCUGACCCAACCCAUAUAAAUAACACUAUUAUGGAUACAGGUCAAUCCGAUUGUACGGUACACCCAGGUGUACCCCAGAUUUUGUGUAUACCAAUUAAUGAUACAUAUAUUGAUCCGUCUUAAAAAAAUGGUACAUAUACUGAUCCGUGUUGAGAAUAAAGAAUUUGGUUAAAAUUGCAAAAUAUACGAUAUUAAUAAAUAAAUAAAUCUUCAAAACCUAAUAUCUAAAAUUUACUAUUAUUCCGUACAAGUCUUAAAAAUAUUUAUUACCAUAUUUUACAAUUUUAGACUUAGAUAUGUAAUAUGGAGUAAUAUAUUACUAUCUUUGUCAUCACAAUUAAGUACAAGUCCUAACUUGAUCAAUUUUUUUUGUCAUCACAAUUAAGUUGAUCAAUUUUCUUACAUGGAAUAAAUAUAAACAAUGAAACAUCUAAUUACUUAUUCAUUUUAUUGUCAAAAACACUUAAAAAUUAUCUUAAAUUACGUGUCGAAAAGAAAUUGACCAAUUAAACUAGGACAUAAAUAUACUUUAUUGCUUUGAUUGGUGUUGAAUUCGUUUUGAUUUUAUUAUGUUCUUUUAGCAAGUAGUGGACUCACAUUUUUUAAAUUGGGAGUACAAACAAAUAAUCUAGUAAAUCAAUUCUUUAUAUUCUAAUGGUAUAGCAGUACUACUUGAACCAAAUUAAAUUUAUAGUAGCAUUUUCUUGAACUUUAGGUGACUCAUUUUUAGAAGACUCACUUCUAGAGAUUUCAUUUUCUUUAACAUAAAUUGUGGGUUUUUUGUUAUUCCUUUUAACUUUUUUCGAUGUAGGUAUUUCGUUAUUCAUUCUUAUAUUUAAUACACAAAUGUAAUCAUUCUAAAAGAAAACUAAAAUUAUUAGCAAAUCAUGAACAAGUUCGCACAUCAAAUAGGUAAAAAUAUACUCUCCUCAUUCUUAUAAAAAGUAUCAAAUUUAUUAUUUUCAUCAGUUCUCAUAAAAUGUAUCCAAUUUAUUUUUUAGUAAAUUUUUUCACUCACAAUAUAUUCAACUGCCUUAUUAAAACUUGUGCUAUUCAUGUAUGGUUAUUUUUUAUAAGGAUAGGAUAGAUAGAGUAAUUUGCAAAUGGAUUACUCAUUUUAAUAUAUACUUUAUUUUUUUUAUUUAUGUUGAAUUCAUUUUUAUUUUAUUAUGUUCUCUUUGAUUUGUCGGUUUCAUUGGUCAUUUAAAAGAACUAGUAAGCGUGUGAUGAUUGAUUGGGAAAUGCAGGAAUCCAACUAGUCUAUCAAAUACAUUGUACAGCGUCGUUUGUUAAAUUGAUCGAUUAAUCUAUAUUAAAUUUUUGAAAUGCCAUGUUAAUUUUAAUUUGAACGUAGUUUAAUUUUUUUUUAUAAAAUUGCUAGAGACAUAAAAUUUAUUUAUUUUCAAAUAAAACUUUCAAAGUUCAUAAAAAAAAUCAAAAUGAGUCCAAAAUUUAUAUGUUUAGACGCUAAUAACCUAAUAUUAUUAUUAAUAGCAGACCAUACAUCAAAAUUUGCACAUGCCCUUAAACUGUUAAAACAUAAUCUCACAUCUACAUCCAAUUCCAAAAAAUCACUUAACUAUAAGAAUAUUAUACACUAUCAGUAGAUAGAGAAGCCAUUCGAAUAGGUGUUUAAAAGAUAGGUUGAUAUAUAACAACGAAAACGAACAACAAAAGCAAGAAUCAUCAAAAUUUAAAUCAUAUAUAAAUGGUGAAGAACAUAACAAUUAAAUAUUCUUAUGCAUAGAGUUAGAUCAGCUACUAAAACAUGCAAACUGAGGGCAGAGUCAUAAGAGGCAUAUUGCUACUACCAUUGAUAUCUCACUAGAGAUAGAAUCAAAGUCCCAAAAUGCUGCCAUAACCACUUGAAAUCAACUAGCAACACAAAGACCUACAAGAAAAAUUGGUGAGGAGUAUUAUUUGGCCAUGUAUCUUAAGCCAUAAAUCUAACAAACGAAAUUAAGAAAGCUUUACCCUCUGCUAUGCUAUGAUCUUGUUCCUAGCUCAGAAGAAGUCGUAGUCGAAAAUCCCAGGUCCAUCAUCGUUGAAGAAUCCGUAGCCACGAGGAGAAAAGUCAUCGUUGAAGGAUCCAUAGCCAAGAGGAGAAAAGUAGUCGUCGUAAUACUCAUAUUCAAAAUCACCAUAAUAGCUAUUAUCAUCAUAGCAGUCGCUGUAACGUUCAAAAUCCAAUUCAGAUGGUUCCCCAACAAGCCAUGGUACAUCACUAACCGAGUCAUUAGGGAGCCUCAGAUCUUUUAUCUGCUCACGGCAUCUUUUCCCUAAAUCCCCUCCAAGAUCGAGACCAUAGCAUUGCCGGAUGUCAAGUGAUUCGAGGCGUGGACAGCCAUCAAGGAUGGCUUCAAGUCCUUCGUUUUGCAUCUCCUCAUGUGCAAAAAGUUGAAGAUGAUGCAAAUUAGGCAUGCAUUUCCCGAUUGCUCUAGCAUAAGUAUUCCGAUCAAAUCCUUCACUGUAAUAAUCAUCUUCUUCUGAAUCUGGCAUAAGCCGGAUCUUUGAACCACGUUCGUUAUAUGAGAAUGACUUCAACUUUGGGCAAGAAUGGCCAAUAGCUUCAAUGUGGUGAGCUUCUAUCCAUGGAAACAUAAUAAGGUGCAAUUCUUCCAACUGUUCAAGUUUUUCAACCGCCUGAAUUAAAGGAUCUGCAGACAUCUCAUCGCAAGAUACGAGUUUAAGACGUUUGAGAUUUCGUGAUCUGUCAAAAAACACAAGAUUAGACCAGAUAUUGAAUUUUUUUAAGCUAGAAAAUGAUUCAGAUGUAAAUGAAGCAUAUUAUCACAAACACGUAUCAACGCUUUCAUCCAACAUGAUUACAAAGGAAGUUGUACAAAUUAGAAAAUGUUCAAUCAAGCACAAUAUAUUCUUCUUUUGAUGAUUUCCUUGGUCAUAUUAAGCACAUGUUUUUAGCACUGAAUUUCUGUUGGUGGUGUUUGGAACACAGGUAUAUACUACAACUUCAAAGUGCAACCAAAAAAGGUUAUAGACCAACAAGAAUUCACUAACAGAGAUUGCAACUUCAAGUCACAAUUCAUAGCAAUGGCAAAACAAGAAAUUGCGAAAAUUCUGAGAAAAAGAUAAAACUUUUUGAUUUUUCAGUAGCUCACUCACCUACACUGUUAAUACUCUAUCUCCAUUUCUAACAAAGUGAAUAGCAAAGGCCUUUCACAAUUCACAAAGCAAAUACACAUGCCAAAUCUCAUGACGAAGGUAGAGUUGUAAACUAGUUGAGCCGAAGACUACACUAUUUCGACAAAAGGCUCGUGCACUGGCUAGAUUGAAGAUUCGUGAACAAAUAAAUCCAAACAUGAACGUGAGUCAAACGAGACGAUGAGAUGAGAUCGGCUUGUUUAGUAUUGAACGAGCUUUUUUCGAGCAGAGCCUCGAAUAGCUGUGCAUUCACAGAGCUAGUCCAAGAGGCACUGUCAAAUUUGAGCUUUGAACCAAAACGAGACUCAAUUCAAUCAUCAAAAAAUAAAAGAAAACAAAUGAUAAUGAACACGAAUUUCAACAACAACACAAGCAGCUUUAUUAAACUAUAACAUCAUAUCAUAUCCGCGAACAGUGAUGCCUAAAAUAUAACUCGUUCAACAACGAUGAAUCAUCAAUCUUCAAGUAAUAUAAAGAGCGCAGUAACAUUUACCGAUCGGCGACAUAGAUUAUCAGUUCCCCGUCGCCGAAGAAGUCAAUGGUGAGGUCGACCAAUUGCCCCUGGCUCCGAUCCACGGCGCGGCGGCACAUGGCAUUGUAGUCCUCGAACAUAUUCAUAUCAUCAAUGUUGCACAAAUCGAUCACUCGCCACAUGGCGGGAUCCUUGCAAACUUUCCACCAGGUUCUACACACUUGCUGCGCGCUCCUCAGCAUCGCCUCAGCGCCCAACCUCUGCAGAAUGUUGGCCGUUACAUCUCCGGGAAGUUCGAUCCACGGCGGCGGCGGAGGGGGCGACGGUGAAGCAGCUGGCGCCGGCGCUUUCUUUUGAACCCACUGUUUUCGGAUUCUGCAUUUCCUUCUUCCCAUGGCGAUUGAAAACGCAGAAUAGGGAGGAGAGGAAUUUCAAAAGAUUUGUUUAUUAUUUGGGUGAAUAUUUAGGCGGAAAAUAUAUAAGGUCGUGUUUGGUCAAAAAUAUUUUUGGGUGGGAUUACUCGCAUAAUAUACGCCUAAAAAGUAAAAACCCUAAAUUAGGGCCUAAAUUGCGCUUUAGAUACAAUGCAUAAUUGCAUAUAACUCUUUAAGAAAAGAUAGUAUCUCUUGAUUUCUUUUAGAUUAGAUAUAUCUUAUUCAAAAAACAUUAUCUUUUAUUUCAAAUACAUGGUCAAUUAAUGAUACAUAUACUGAUCCUUGUUGGGAAUAAAGAAUUUGUUUAAAAUUGUAAAAUAUACGAUGAUAAUAAAUAAAUAAAUAAAUAAAUCUAAACCAAAGAUAUAAAAUUUAAUAUUAUUCCAUACAAGCCUGCAAAAUAUUUCUUUACCAUAUUUUGCUGUUAUAGACUAAGAUAUGUAAUAUGGAGUAAUAUUUCUUUGAAUUAGUGUUGAAUUCGUUUUGAUUUUUUUAUGUUCUUUUUGCGAUCGAGUGGCGGAUCGAAGAUUUUUAAAUUGUGGAUACCAAAGAAUAAUCUCAUAAAUAAAUUCUUUAUCUUCUAAUGGUACACUAGUGUUAUUUGAACCAAUCAAAUUCAUGACAUUUUCUUGAGCUUGAGGUGACUCAUUUGUAGGAGAAUCACCUCUCUUGAUAUUUCAUUUUCUUGAACAUAAAUUGUGGGUUAUUUGUCAUUCCUUUUAAUUUUUUUGAUUGGGUAUUUGACUAUUUAUUCCUAUAUUCAAUACAAAUAAUUCUAAAAGAAAUCUAAAAUUAUUAACAAUCAUGAAAAAGUUUGCAUUUAUAGAGUAGUGUAUAAUAACUAAAUACGUGUAAUAAUUAAAUUCAUAGACUAUAAAGCAAACAAUUUAAGUAAUCUCAUUUUAAGAAAAUAACACUAAAUCAUUAAUAUAAUAAAAGUAAAAGACUUUAGUAUAACAAUUUUGGACUCUUCAAAGUUCAAAGUCCAAACAAUAUUAUUAUUAAGAGUUUAUAUUUAAAUAGCUCAAAACUAAAAAAUCUUUAAUUUAGCAUCCCCUGCUGAAUAUUUUUUUGUGAAUAAAGUUAACGAAUUUUUGAAAAGAAUUUAAAAGGAGAAAGAAAAGAGAGAAAAAUUGGUGGAAAAACUUGAGAGUAGAAAGAAUUGAGCGAUUAAAAAAAAAAAACACUCUCACCCCUAGACGAUGGGGAUUAAAUUUUAAUCAUCUCUCUAUAGACAAAGAAGCCAUUCGAAUAGUUGCUUGAAAGAUGGGUUGAUCAUAAAUUAAACUUAUUAUAAAAUUGUUAGUGACAUAAAAUUUAUGUAAUUUCAAACAACUUGUAAAAUUCGUGAUAAAAUCAAAAUGACCUCAAAAUUCGUAUAUUUUGACACUAAUAAUAAUCCAAUAUAAUAUUAAUAGUAGUACAUCAAAAUUUGCACAUAACCCUUAAACAUAAUCUCAUACCUGCAUCCUGAAAUUCCAAAAUCAUUAUUCAUUAACUAUAAGAAUAUUUUAUUAGGUGUUCGAAUAGUGCUUGAAAGAUACGUUGAUAUAUAUAACAACAAAAAUGAAGAACAAAAGCAAGAAUCAUCAAAUAUUUAAACCAUAUAUAAACAGUGAAGGACAUAGCGAUUAAAUAUUCUUAUGCAUAAAGUUAGGUGAAAUUCCAAAAAUGUAUGUUGCUACUGCCAUUGGUAUCUCGCUAGAGAGAAUCAAAGUCCCAAAAAUGCAGCCAUAACCACUUGAAAUCAACUAGCUACACAAAAACCUGCAAAAAAUAGGUGAGGAGUAUUAUUUGGCCAUGUAUCUUAAGCCAUAAAUCUAACAAACGAAAUUAAGAAAGCUUUACCCUCUGCUAUGAUCUUGUUCCUAGCUCAGAAGAAGUCGUAGUCGAAAAUCCCAGGUCCGUCAUCGUUGAAGAAUCCGUAGCCAAGAGGAGAAAAGUCAUCGUUGAAGGAUUCAUAGCCAAGAGGAUUAGUGAAGUCGUCGUAAGAUUCAUAAUCUAAAUCUUCAUAAUAGUUACAGUAAUCAUAGUCGCCGUAACAUUCAUAAUCCGAUUCAGAUGGUUCCUCAACAAGCCAUGAUGCAUCACUAAUCGAGUCAUUAGGGAGUCUCAGAUCUUUUAUCUGCUCACGGCAUCUUUUCCCUAAAUCCCCUCUAAGAUCGAGACCAAAGCAUUGCCGGAUGUCAAGUGAUUCGAGGCGUGGACAGCCAUCAAGGAUGGCUUCAAGUCCUUCGUUUUGCAUCUCCUCAUAUGCAAAAAGUUGAAGAUGAUGCAAAUUAGGCAUGCAUUUUCCGAUUGCUCUAGCAGUAACAUUCCGAUCAAAUCCUUCAAUAAUAUCAUCAUCAUCAUCAUCUUCCAAAUCUGGCGGAUGAGGGUACUUUGAACCACGUUCGUUAUAUGAGAAUGAUUUCAACUUAGGGCAAGAAUUGCCAAUAGCUUCAAUCUGGUGAGGUGAAAUCCAUGGGAGCAUAGUAAGGUGUAAUUCUUCUAACUGUUCAAAAUUUUCAAUCGCUUGAACUAAAGGACCUCCAGACAUCUGAUGGCAAAAUACAAGUUUAAGACGUUUGAGAUUUCGUGAUCUGCCAAACAGCACAAGAUUAGACCAGAUAUUGAUUUUUUUAAGCCAGAAAAUGAUUCAGAUGUAAAAGGAGCAUAUUAUCACAACAAGUAUUAACGCUUUCAUCCAACAGGAUUACAAAGGAAGUCGUACAAAUUAGAAAAUGUUCAAUCAAGCACAAUAUCCUCUUCUUUUGAUGACUAACAAGAUUUAUUGCCUUAGUGAUAUUAAAAUGAGAAAUAAGCCUCUCGGCACAUGUUUUACUGAAUUUAUGUUGGAGGUGUUUGGAACACAGGUAAAUACAACUUCAAAAACCAACCAAAAAGGUUCCAGACCAACAAAAUAUCAUUAAGAGAGAUUGCAACUUCAAGUCACAAAUGCUAAAAGGCGCCUUCAGAAUACUUGCAAGAGGUUCUUUCUUUUUCAAAGCAACGGCGAAACAAAAAAAAGGGCGAAAAUUCUAAUAGAAAGAAAAAACUUUUUGAUUUUUUAGUAGCUCAUUCACCUCCACUGUCAACACUCUAUCUCCAUUUCUAACAAAGUGAAUAGCAGAGGCCUUUCACAAUUCACAGAGCAAAUACAACAUGCCAAAUUUCAUGUCCAAGACUCCAAGGUAGAGUUUAAAACUAGUCGAGCCGAAUACUAGACGAGCUCAAGCUCGGCUAGUAUGAUGCUCGAUAAUGUCAUAUUCGAGUUUGAGCUCAAGCUUGGCUCAUAUUCGUAUAAAUAGUGUUCGAGCUUUCAGCUCGAGCUCAUAAAAGGCUUGAGCAGUGGCUUGAUUCAAUCAAAAGAAUCCAAAAAUGUAGUAAACUGCCAAAUUUGACAACGGCUUGUUUGCUAUCAAACGAUUUUUUUCCGAGCCAGUUCUCUUGCGAGUAGCUCUGUUAUUUACAAAGCUAGUCCAAGCCAACCACCGCCAAAUUUGAGCUCUUUGAACCAUAACAAGACUCAAUUUUUCGAUCAUUAAAAAACAAAAACAAAUGAUAAAAAAAUAAGAUAAUCAACGCGCAGUUCAACUACUCAAGCAGCAUUAUAAAACUAUAACAUCAUAUCACAUACGUGAACAGUGAUGCCUCAAAUAUAACUCGUUUAACAACAAUGAAUCAUCAUUCUUCAAGUAAUAUCAAGAGCGGAGUAAUAUUUACCGAUCGGCGAUGUAGUUUAUCAGUUCCCCGUCGCCGAAGUAUUCAAUGGUGAGGUCGACCAAUUGCCCUUGGCUCCGAUCCACUGCGUGGCGGCACAUGGCAGUGUAAUCCUCGUUUGAGAUUUUGCGAUAUCUGAAUGCAAGAUACAAAUUUAAGACGUUUGAGAUUUCGUGAAAGGAGCAUAUUAUCACAAACAUGUAUUUACGCUUUCAUCCAACAUGAUUACAAAGGAAUUAGGAAAUGUUCAAUGAAGCACAAUAUCCUCUUCUUUUGUACAAAUAAGCCUAUCAGCGCAUGUUUUUAGCACUGAAUUAUGUUGGAGGUGUUUAGUAAAUACAACUUCAAAAUGCAACAAAAAAUGUUCCAGACCAACAAAAUAUCAAUAAGAGAGAUUGUAACUUUGAGUCACAAUUGCUAAACGAAGGAGCCUUUCAAAUACUUGCAAGAAGUUCUUUCUUGUUCAAAGCAACGACGAAACAAAACAGGGUGAAAAUUCUGAGAGAAAGAUAGAAGUAGAACUUUUUGAAUUUUCAGUAGCUCACUCCCCUCCAAUGUUAAUACUCUAUAUCCAUUUCUAACUAAGCAAAUAGCAAAGGCCUUUCACAAUUCAAAAAGCAAAUGCAAUAUGCCAAAUCUCAUGUCCAAGGUAGAGUCGUAACCUAGGCAAGCUCGAGCUCAGCUAGUAUGAUACUCGAUAAUGUCAUAUUAGAGUUUGAGCUCAAGCUUGAAUCAUAUUCGUAUAAAUGGUGUUCAAGCUCAUAAAAGGCUAGUGCAGUGGCUUGAUUUGAACAAACGAAUCCGAACAAGUAGUAAACCGCAAGGCUUGAGACCGACUCCUUUACUAAUUACUAUCGAACGAGCUUUUUCCGAGCCGAGUCUCUCUUGCAAGUAGCUCUGUUCAUUUACAGAACUAGUCCAAGGCAGGCACCGCCAAAUUUGAGCUUUGAACGAAAACAACUCAAAUUUUCCAAUCACUCAAAAAAAGAAAACAAAUGAUAAAAAAAAAAAUGAUAAUCUACGUGCAUUUCAACAACUACACAAGCAGCUGUAUAAAACAAAACAUCAUACCAUAUCCAUGAACAGUGACGCCUCAAAUAUAAGUCGUUUAACAACGACAAAUCAUCAUUCUUCAAGUAAUAUCAAGAGCGCAGUAAUAUAUACCUAUUGGCGACGUUGUUCAUCAGUUUCCCUUUGCCCAAGGAGUCAAUCGUCAGUUUCCCUUUGCCCAAGGAGUCAAUCGUGAGGUCGACAAAUUGCUCCACGCUCUGAUCCACUGCACGGCGGCACAUGGCAGUGAAGUCCAUUUGUGACAUUUCGUCAUAUCUGAAUGCAAGAUACAAGUUUAAGACGUUUGAGAUAUCAUGAUCUGCAAAGUGCACAAGAUUAGACAAUAACUAAUUUUUUUAAGCUAUAAAAUGAUUCAGAUGUAAAAGGAGCAUAUUAUCACAAACAUAUAUUAACGCUUUCAUCCAACAAGAUUACAAAAUGUUCAAUCAAGCACAAUAUCCUCUUCUUUUGUACAAAUAAGCCUCUCAGCACAUGUUUUUAGCAUUGAAUUUAUGUUAGAGGUGUUUGAAACACAGGCAAAUACAACUUCAAAAUGCAACCAAAAAGGUUCCAGACCAACAAAAUAUCAUUAACAGAGAUUGCAACUUCGAGUCACCAUUGCUAAAAGAAGGAGCCUUGUGAAUACUUGCAAGAAGUUCUUUCUUGUUCAAAGCAACGACGAAACAAAAAAGGGUGAAAAUUCUGAGAGAGAGAUAGAACUUUUUGAUUUUUCAGUAGCUCACUAUCCUCCAGUGUUAACACUCUAUCUCCAUUACUAACUAAGAGAAUAGCAAAGACCUUUCACAAUUCACAAAGCAAAUGCAACAUGCCAAAUCGCAUGUCCAGGGUAGAGUUGCAAACUAGCUGAGCCGAAUACUAGACGAGCUCGAGCUCAGCUAGUAUGAUACUCGAUAAUGCCAUAUUCGAGUUUGAGCUCAAGCUUAUAUUCAUAUAAAUAGUGUUCGAGCUCUCAGCUCGAGCUCAUAAAAGGCUUGUGCAGUGGCUUGAUUCGAACAAACGAAUCCGAACAUGUAGUACACCGAGGCUUGAGAUAAUCGAACGAUUUUUCUUCCGAUCGUACGAGUAGGAGUAGCUCUGAACCAAAAAUAAUAAUAAUAAAAUAUGAUAAUGAACGCGCAUUUCAACAACAACACAAGCAGCAUUAUAAAACUAUAACAUCAUAUCAUAUCCAUGAACAUCAAGAGCGCAGUAAUAUCUACCGAUCGGCGACGUAGUUUAGCAGUUCAUCGUUGCCGAAGGGGUCAAUGGCGAGGUCGACCAAUUGCCUCUGGUUCCAAUCGACUUCGGGGCGGCACAUAGACAUGGCAGUGUACGUAUCGAUCAUACGAGGGUAGUGCAAAACGAUCACUCGCCACAUGGCGGGAUCCUUGCAAACUUUCCACCAGGUACUACACACUCGCUGCGCGCUCCUCAGCAUCCCCACCGCGCCCAACCUCUGCAGAAUGUUGGCCGUUACAUCUCCGGGAAGUUCGAUCCACGGCGGCGAAGGGGGCGAGGACGAAGCAGCUGGCGCCGCCGCCGGAGUUUUCUUUGGAACCCACUGUUUUCGGAUUCUGCUUUUCCUGUUGGCCGUUACAUCUCUGGCAAGUUCGAUCGACGGCGGAGGAGGGGCCGAGGAUGAAGCAGCUGGCGCCGGCGCCGGAGUUUUCUUUGGAACCCACUGUUUUAGGUUUCUGCUUUUCCUCCUUCCCAUGGCGAUUGAAAACGCAGAAUAAUGGUAAGGAGAGGAUUUUGAAAAGGUUUGUUUAUUUGGGUGAAUAUUUAGGGGCAAAGUAUUUAAGGCCGUGUUUGGUAGUGUACGGCCCAUUUUUUUUUGGAUGGGAUUAGUCGCAUAAUAUAAGCCCAAAAACACCAAAAAUUUACCUAGAUUGCAUUAGAUACAAUGAAUAGAGACCAAUUAUCGUCUCUCUAUUUCAAAUACAUGAUCCUCAGUUCUUGUAUUUUAGAUUUAUCUGAUUCUGAAAAACAUAUCUUUUAUUUCAAAUACAUGAUCAACAAAUGAUACGCAUACUGAUCCUUGUUGGGAAUAAAGAAUUUGGUCUAUAAUUGCAAAAUAUACCAUAAUCAAAAAAGAUAUUUUCAAAGCCUAAGAUAUAAAUUUACUAGUAUUCCGCACAAGCCUGAAAAAUAUUUAAUUAUUACAUUUUAUAGUUAUAGACUAAGAUAUAUAAUAUAUUAAUAUAUUUAUUUUAUUUCUUUGAUUGAUGUGAAUCCAUUUUGAUUUUAUUAUAUUUUUGGAUUGUGGUCGAAAUUUAAAGUACCCACUUUGAUUACUCAUCUUAUAAAAUUACCCNGUUUUUAUACUUUGAAUUUUGAAAAAGUUCGCUCCUAUAUAACUAGGGGGUGGGUAUUUUUCAUAGACAUAUUAUGAAAUUAAAGUGGGUAUUUUAAUAUAUUAAGUCUAAAAUUUUUGGCUCUGUUACGAUCCUAUCAAUUUUAUUUAUCUCAUCUACUAACCAAACGUCAUGGAAGAAUACUGAACACGAUUAGGGAUGGCAACGGGCCGGAUCUGGACCGGGUCUGGACAAUACCAGAUCCAGAUCCGUUUGCAUAUACCAGAUCCAGAUCCGGAUCCAGAUCCGCGGAUCUGAAAAUUUUGGAUCCAAAUCCAGAUCCGUCAGAUCCACGGAUCCGCGGGUCCAGAUCCAUGGAUCUAGUGUUUUCAAAUUAAAUUCAAAAAUAAAUUCACAAAAUCAACAACAUUUAAUAUCCAUCAUGAAAAAUAUUGUACAAAAUCAACAAUAUUUAAUAUCCAUCAUGAAAAUCAAGUCAUCAAAAUAUCAAAAUAAACAAAUCUCAAUGCAUGAGUCUACGAGAAGUCGAGAACAAGUCUUCCCCAAUCCAAAUUAAUUCUAUUUUUUUUUAUUUUUUAAUAUAUCUAAUAUUAUUAAUAAAAUAAAUAUAAAAAAUAAAUAAUAUAUUUUAAUUAAAUCGGAUCUACGGGUCGGAUCUGGGUCGGAUCCGGAUCUCAAAUGUCAAGAUCCAGAUCCAUAUCCAUUUAAAAAAAUGAGAUCCAGAUUCGAAUCCAGAUCCGCGGAUCUAAAAAAUUGAGAUCCAGAUCCGUCAAAUCGAAUCUGGAUCCACGGAUCUGAACCGGGUCCAGAUCCACUGCCAUCCCUAAACACGAUGUAGCACAUACAAGGUAUAUCUCGUAAAAGAGCAGGCAGGUAGUAGGGCAACAUGCUAUAAUUAGUGAAAAGCAGUUCUAAUAAUAAGUAAAUUUAGACAUAUUAUUAUUAUUAUUAUUAUUAUUAUUAUUAUUAUUAUUAUUAUUAUUAUUAUUAUUAUUAUUUUCUUUUUUUCUGACUUGUAUGUAAUUUAGUCUCGUAUAUAAUAAUAAACGACACUAAAAAAUAUUUGCCUUAAUUUAACACGAUGAAGUUGACAAGCCGAAUCAUUAGGCGGAGAAAGACUUGCCUUAAAAAUGCAAUUUUUGGCACUAAUACCGAAACUUUUUGCCUCACAAAAUAACAUGCAUCCAUGUUAUAUUGCAAUUUUUUUGGUUACGCUGUCAACCCAUACAAAAUUUUUGAUGCAUAGUGUAUAUAUAUAUUAUACUCAGCAAAAUAAUAGUGAACUCAACUCAACUAUAUAACCUCCAAAUUAAAUGCAAGUAUUUCACUAUUCUUCCAGUUCCACAUAAUUUCUCACCAUACAAAUAGAUCAACAACACCUUAACUAUCAGAAAUGGUAGCUGGUGAGUUGCCUGAAUCUUUUUAUUUAUUUAUUAUUAUUAUUAGUUUAUUUAAAUUUCAAAUUUCGAAUUUUAAAAUUUUUUGGAUACUUGGUCCGUGAAUUUCACAAAAUGAAAAUAAAUACAGGGCAUUAAUUAGUAAAGGGUAACAAGUAGGCAAAUUCUUGACUAUAUUUGAUUAGGUGGGGAACCAUAAUGUCCCAAAAUAUGCAGAGGCACAAGCCAAAAAACAGCUAUAUCCUCAUCAUCCAUACCCUCAAUAGUGUUUCCUGCUAUACAAUUUUUCUUCCUCAAAUACGAUCCUGCUCAAAUUCUUUCUCAACUCCAUCAAAACUGCAUUAUUUUAUCCAUAAAAAACUCGUGUCGUAUCGUCUAAUGGGUCAAUAUCCAUCACACGGAACGGAACCCAUACCCAAAACUCAAAUCCCAAGUUCAUAUCUAAUACUCCCUCCGUCCCAAUAAUCUUGUCCCACUUUCCUUUUUGGGUUGUCCCAAUAAUCUUGUCCCAUUUCCUUUUUAGGAAAGUUUUAGGAACUAAUUAAUUUCUAAUUAAACACUAUCCUAAUUAAUUCCCCCUCUAAACCCUAAUUUAUCUCUCUCUCUCUCUCCACACUCUCUUGCCUCCCCUCUUCUCUACCCUUCGCCCACCCCCCCCUCCGUCCUCUCGCCUUCCCCACCUUCCCCCUCUGUAAAUCGGCCUCCCCCUUCCCCCUCUGUUCCGCCGGCACUGGCGCCGGCGCCGCCUCCCCCCUUCCCUCUCUGUUUCGCCUGCGUCGCCUCCCCUCUCCCCCCUCUGUUUCGCCGGCGCCGCCUCCCCCCUUUCCCUCUGUUUCGCCGGCGUCGCCUCCCCUCUGUGUACCGGCGCCUUUGAGCUUGUCCGCCCUCUCACCUCCGCCCUCCCGCCUCCGCCCUCCCGCCUCUCCUCUGUUUUCUUUUUUUUCUUCAGAAAUUAGUGCUCGCCCUCUCACCUCUUCGCCUUCGUCCUCCCGUCUUCGCCACACAGAGGGGAGGCGACGCCUCUGCCUCUCGCCUCUUCGCCACCACCUGUAGAAAUCUGAGAUCUGAGAUGUUGCGAGGUGUUGCGCUGCUCUGAAUCUGAGAUCUGCGCGGCGGCGGGCGGCGGGCGGUGGUGGCGUUGCUCCGCUGCACUGAAUCUGCGAUCUAUGUCGGUCUGUGAAGAAUGAUCAGUGAAGAAUGAUGGUGUGUUUCUUUAAUUUCUUGAAUUUCUAUAAACACUUCUUGAAUUUGGGGGAAAUGAUGUGUGUUAAAUUUUUUUGUUGGUUGUUUGAAUGAUGGUGUGUAGUGGGUGGAGAGAGACAGACGAGGGGAAAGGAAGGAUGCCGGCCAGCCGGAGUUGAGAGCGACGUCGGCAGCAUAAUUUUGAAGAAUUAAUUGUUGCUUUGUUAUCAAUACUUAAAUCAAUUAACAAUAUAAUUAAACAUGUGGGCCAUACAACUUAACCUCUAAUACAACUCUCCUUAAUACCCGUGCCGAAAAGAAACAGGACAAGAUUACCGGGACGGAGGGAGUAUUAGCAAACUGCCAUUCUCCCGCCAAUUUUAGCCGAACAGGUCCCCUUGUUGAAUUUCAAAUUGCAGCAACAAGAUCACCACAUUUUUUUCACUCUCAAGUUUUUCCAUUGUUUUUUCUCUCUUUUCUUUUUUAUUUUUUAAUUCUUUCUAAAAAGUCGUUAACUUUAUUCAUUAAAAAAAUAUUAAUAUGAGAUGCUAAAUUAAAGAUUUCUAGAAAAUCUUUAAUUUGAUUUAAAAAGUUUAAAAAAUAAAUUUGAAAUACAUAAGUUUUUAAUCAUUUGAAGGGACAUAAUUAAUUUUUAUUUUUUUCUCUCUAACAUUAAACAUCGUUCUCUUUUUCAUUCCGCUAUUUCACGGUUUAAAUUGGAACCGUGAGAGAGCUUUUCACGGUUAAGUUUUGAUUUCAAAUUAUGAAACCGUUUCACGAUUCAAAUCGGAACCGUAAGGCAAUGAAGGGGCUUUCACGGUUCAGCUCCGAUUUCAAAUUCUGAAACCGUAAAACCGCCUAUUCGAUUCUAGAUCGAACCGUGGCCACCUCUACUAUCCUUUCUUAUAAAGAGUUAAAUCAUGUAUUUUGGAAUGGAUAACUGGUAUCUAUGCAUUGUAGGCGACCAAACACGGUCUUGUUAUUUUCCCGCCCAAAUAAAUAUUCACCCAAAUAAACACACCUUUCCAAAUUCCUCUCCUUCCCAUUCUACAUUUUCAUUCGCCAUGGGAAGACGGAAAAGCAGAAAUCGAAAACGGCGGGUUCAAAGAAAAACUCCGGCGCCAGCUGCUUCAUCCUCGGCCUCUCCGCCACCGUGGAUCGAACUUCCCGGUGAUGUAACGGCCAACAUUAUGCAGAUGGUUGGCGCGGAGGGGAUGCUAAUGAGCGCGCAGCAAGUGUGUAGUACAUGGUGGAAAGCUUGCAAGGAUCCUGCCUUGUGGAGAGUGAUCGAUUUGUUCAAUCCUGAUUCUGAUUCUAGGACCGUGGAAAAGAAAUACGUUGCCAUGUGCCGCCGCGCAGUGGAUCGGAGCCAGGGGCAAUUGGUCGACCUCACCAUUAAAUUCUUCGGCGACGGUGAACUGAUAAACUACGUCGCCGAUCGGUAAAUAUUACUUCACUAUUUAUAUUACUUGAAGAAUGAUGAUUCAUCGUUGUUGAACGAGUAAUAUUUGAGGCAUUUAUAGAUUUAUAAAGCUUCUUGUGGUGUUGUUGAAAAAAACGUGGAUUAACAUUUUUUUUUAAUGAUUGAAAAUUUGAGGUCUUGCUUCAAAGCUCAAAUUUGGCAGUGCCUCUUGACCUUACCUAAGCAUAUGCAAAGACACCUUCGACUAACUCUGUGAAUGAACAGCUAUUCGAAGCUCUGCUCGAAAAUAGCUCAUCGCCUCGUUUGACUCGUGUUCAUGUUUGGAUUCAUUUGUUUACAGUGGAGGGGAGUGAGCUACUGAAAAAUCAAAAAGUUUUAUCUCUCUCUCCCUUUUUAGUUUCGCCGUUGCUUUGAACAAGAAAACUUUUUGCAGGUAUUCAAAAGGAUCCCUCUUUUAGAAAUUGUGACUUGAAGUUGCAACCUCUGUUAAUGAAAUUUUGUUGGUUUGGAACCUUUUUUAGUUGCACUUUGAAGUUGUAUAUACCUGUGUUCCAAACACCUCCAACAGAAAUUCAGUGUUAAAAACAUGUGCUUAAUAUGACUAAGGCAAUCAUCAAAAGAAGAGUAUAUUGUGCUUCAUUGAACAUUUUCUAAUUUUUAUAACUUUCUUUGUAAUCAUCUUCUAGCUAAAAAAAAUCAUUAUGAGGUCUAAUCUUGUGCUGUUUGACAGAUCACAAAAUCUCAAACGUCUUAAACUUGUAUCUGGCAAUGAGAUUUCUGUUGGUGCUUUAAUUCAACCGAUUGAAAAUUUUGGACAGUUGGAAGAAUUGCACCUUACUGCCCCAUGGAUUUCUGCUCACCAGAUUGAAGCUAUUGGCCAUUCUUGCUCAAAGUUGAAAUCAUUCUCCUAUAACAAACGUGGUUCAAGGUAUUAUACUUUUGAAGGAUUUGAUGAGAAUGUGUAUGCGGCAGCAAUCGGAAAAUGCAUGCCUAAUUUGCACCAUCUUCAACUUGUUGCACAUAAGAUGGGAAAUAAAGGACUUGAAGCCAUCCUUGAUGGCUGUCCACGCCUCGAAUCACUUGACAUCCGGCAAUGCUUUGGUCUCGAUCUUGGAGGGGAUUUAGGGAAAAGAUGCCGUGAGCAGAUAAAAGAUCUGAGAUUCCCUAAUGACUCGGUUAGUGAUGUAUCAUGGCUUGUUGGGGAACCAUCUGAAUUGGAUUAUGAUUGUUACGCGACUAUGAUGAUUAUCACCAAGAUAUAGAUUUUGAAUAUGACGACGACUACUCUUCUCGUGGCUAUGGAUCCUUCAACAAUGACUGGCUUGGGAUUUUCGACCGCAACUACUUCUGAGCUAGGAACAGGACCAUAGCAGAGGGUAAAGCUUUCUUAAUUUCGUUUUAUCGAUUUAUGGUUUAAGAUACAUGGCCAAAUAAUACUCCUCACCUAUUUUUUUUGUAGGUUUUUGUGUUGCUAGUUGAUUUCAAGUGGUUAUGGCGCAGUUUGGGACUUUCAAUCUAUGUCUAGUGAGAUAUGAAUGGUAGUAGCAAUGUACAUCUUAUGACUCUGCCCUCAGUUUGCAUGUUUUAGUAGCUGAACCUAACUCUAUGCAUGAGAAAUAUUUAAUAGUUAUGUUAUUCGCCG